UCUGUUGAGAAUUCAGGUGUCAACGAGGAUGUUAUUCUCCUCAUACACGGCACCUUUCAGCUGAAAUUUUAGAUAUACUCAACAUAAGUACUGGCACAACAGAAUAAAAAUGCAGCGGCAAUUAAGCUGCUAAAAGGCAAGUAGAACGUUGAC